GAUGAACGCUGGCGGCGUGCUUAACACAUGCAAGUCGAACGGUGAACCCGGGGCUUGCUCUGGGGGACCAGUGGCGAACGGGUGAGUAACACGUGAGUAACCUGCCCCUGACUCUGGGAUAAGCUCUGGAAACGGGGGCUAAUACCGGAUAUGUGACGCGACCGCAUGGUGGGCGUUUGGAAAGAUUUUUCGGUUGGGGAUGGGCUCGCGGCCUAUCAGCUUGUUGGUGGGGUAAUGGCUCACCAAGGCGUCGACGGGUAGCCGGCCUGAGAGGGUGACCGGCCACACUGGGACUGAGACACGGCCCAGACUCCUACGGGAGGCAGCAGUGGGGAAUAUUGCACAAUGGGCGCAAGCCUGAUGCAGCAACGCCGCGUGAGGGAUGACGGCCUUCGGGUUGUAAACCUCUUUUAGCAGGGAAGAAGCGAAAGUGACGGUACCUGCAGAAAAAGCGCCGGCUAACUACGUG
rnacentral:rRNA from 1 species